AACAAUUUACUGGUGAAAAAUAUACUACUAAACAACAAAAUUGUAUCAUUCAAAUACAUAAGAGAUCUGUACAAAUCUGACCUAUCAAGGAUUCCACGCUUGGCACCACACCUUACAAAAAAGGCCGUAUAUCCUAACACGUUCGAAAGGAUGAACGUAAAAUUAGCAACGCGCACUCUUAGUCGAACGACAGCCAAAGCGAUAGAAACAAACAUUUCGUUGGGAUCGAUGCCGGUUGACUCUUUAGCAACAUCUGAAUUUAUAAACGACAUUGACCAACUUUUCGAUAUAUUCAACUCUCGGUUUAUUAAUGAAACCGGAAAGCCUUUUCGUUCAGCUAUUACUGGUACGAGUGAGCAUUGGUCUGUUUUAGAUAAAAUGCUGAAUCAGCUGCAGCAGAUGGUAUUCAUUCCACAAUCCUGCUUUAAUUCACAUAAGGCGCGAAACAGCUCACAAAACAUGAACUCGAUUCAAAGAAAUCCACCUUGUGUCAACGGGUUGAUACAUAAUAUCUAUGGACUAAAAAAGUUAUGGAUAGUUCUAUCCGAAGAACACUCGUUUAACUUCUUGCGAACCAACAAGUUAAAUCAAGAUCCACUCGAGAACGAGUUUUCGUGCGUAAGGCGGGCCUGCGGUAACAACGAUACGCCAAACGCUCAGCAAUUUGGAACUGCUCUAAAAUAUAGUUGCAUAAAAAAAAACAUGCUUUCAAUAACAAACACGAAUUGUGAAGACGACAACCACGUACCUAUAGCGUGUAAUGAAUCUGACCAAAACGAUCUUCUUGAAAACGACCCUUUGGAAGGAUGUGAUGAAUUUGUAUUACGGCCGCUCGAUCCUCUUGAAGAAAAUGUACCAGUUCCUGAUGUAUUGGAAAGAAAUGCAUUGUUAUACGUCACUGGAUAUUCAAUAUCUAAGCUUACUCACAAAAAAUGUAUUAAAAAGCUAAACCAGUCACAGGCUGACGACGCACACGAUUACACUUUCUGCUUGCUGAAAAAAAACCUCAAUUCGAAACACUUCAUAGUUCCAAGUAAAAAUGCGUUAAAAAUAGGUCUGGAUGUUCUGAACGCAUUCAAGCAAAAGUUCCAGAUAUUAUUGAAUGACAAUAGGAAAGGUAUUAAACUACGACUGAAAGAAUAUAUCGAAUACGAUCAAUAUGAAUCCGUGAUGUGCUAUAACUGUUUCAAUAAGGUUAUCAAUAGACUCUUUAAUACAUUCAUUAAAGCAGAGGUUCGAAAAAUUCAGCAGAAAAAUCUUAACAAUAAAAAUACCAAAAGAAUGAAAAAGAACACAAAAGCCAGGAGGCUGGGUAUCCCGAGUAAUGUACAAACAUCCAGAAAGAAUAUGAAAUCUCGUACAACGAAAUCGACCUGUUCUACAUCCACUACACGAAAUGAUAGCAAUGUCCAUAGCCAACCAUUUGAAACAGAAUAUGUAAACUGUCCUGAUGAUGGAUUUGAACAUAAUACGGAAUAUGUUAAUGAAGAAAACCCUCUUGAUGUUGACGGCGAAAAUAAUAGCCAAUCAGGCGAAGAUCAGGAAAACCAAAAAAUGAACGAAUGCAUUAAAGCGCUAGAAGAAUUACUGAAACAUUUACCAGAACAACGAAAAAUUGAAGUCGAGAAAAGAGAUUGCUUCCGAUUAACAAUAGCUGAAAUAAACGACACAUUUGCAGAAUUCAAGCCUGAACUCCAAUGUAUUUUCGACAAGUAUAAAACAUUUUCCAGUUAUCAAUUGGCCAAAAUUCACACGUUGGCUUCAUUUGAACAAGUCUGUCGAAUUUUUACGGAUGACCAACUUUACGCGAUGGUAUUAUAUCUAGACAGCCAACUGGUUUCACCUGAAGAUACAGGAUUGUUCACCGACGUUAUUGACGACGUUCUCGUGUAUGAAUGGGCAAUAAGAAUCUUUACUAAAAUUUAUCGUUUUCCUAAUCGUGAAGAAGCCCUUAAACAUAUACAACUACAAGAAGAGGCGGAAAUUUAC